rnacentral:rRNA from 1 species
AUUGAACGCUGGCGGCAGGCCUAACACAUGCAAGUCGAACGGUAACAGGAAGAAGCUUGCUUCUUUGCUGACGAGUGGCGGACGGGUGAGUAAUGUCUGGGAAACUGCCUGAUGGAGGGGGAUAACUACUGGAAACGGUAGCUAAUACCGCAUAACGUCGCAAGACCAAAGAGGGGGACCUUCGGGCCUCUUGCCAUCGGAUGUGCCCAGAUGGGAUUAGCUAGUAGGUGGGGUAACGGCUCACCUAGGCGACGAUCCCUAGCUGGUCUGAGAGGAUGACACCCCAAGCGGGAACGAGGACACGGCCCAGACCCCUGGGGGGGGCAGGAGUGGGGAAUUAGGCACAAGGGGGGAAGGCCUUAUGCAGCCAGGCCGCGUGUAUGAAGAAGGCCUUGGGGUUGAAAAUUUCUUUCAGGGGGGAGGAAGGGAGUAAAUGUAAUACCUUUGCUUUUGGCCGUUCCCCGAAGAAGAAGACCCGGCGAACCCCG